rnacentral:lncRNA from 1 species
CGUAUUUGCACCAAGAUUCUAAACUGAAAUCAAAUGGCUUGGAGCAAUUGCUCCCAAGGAAAAGUUCUGGGUUCGAGUCUUAGUAUCGGUAUAAUGUGUGUGAAUUUAGUAUGUUAUCGCCCAUCUCUAUAGGAAAGAUGCUAAAAAAAAAAAAAAUUUCAAAUGGGAUCUCAAAGCUAGCAAAUAUUUUGUCAAAUGACAAAGCUAGAACAUGUGGAGGUGAUGUGAAUGAAGAAGCAAAGGAGCAUUCCUUUGUAACUCCAAAUAAGUGAUCAAUUACUCCCCAUUAGCGGUCUUCUAGUUUCUUCCUUCCAUUGUUAUGAC